rnacentral:rRNA from 1 species
CCUACGGGGGGCAGCAGUGAGGAAUAUUGGUCAAUGGACGAGAGGCUGAACCAGCCAAGUAGCGUGAAGGAUGACUGCCCUAUGGGUUGUAAACUUCUUUUAUAUGGGAAUAAAAUGUUCCACGUGUGGGUUUUUGCAUGUACCAUAUGAAUAAGCAUCGGCUAACUCCGUGCCAGCAGCCGCGGUAAUACGGAGGAUCCGAGCGUUAUCCGGAUUUAUUGGGUUUAAAGGGUGCGUAGGUGGGUUGUUAAGUCAGUGGUGAAAGUUUGCGGCUCAACCGUAAAAUUGCAGUUGAAACUGGAAGUCUUGAGUACAGUAGAGGGGGGCGGAAUGCGUGGUGUAGCGGUGAAAUGCUUAGAUAUCACGAAGAACUCCGAUUGCGAAGGCAGCUCACUGGACUGCAACUGACACUGAGGCUCGAAAGUGUGGGGAUCAAACAGGAUUAGAUACCCCAGUAGUC